rnacentral:sRNA from 1 species
UGUAUCUUUUAACAAGGAAACACUACUUAGGCUAAUAUGGUCUAGUUGCGGUUCUAGUUCUUAUACUCAAUCAUACACAUAACAUCUAGUCAUAUUUGACUCGAAAACACUAACCAAGCUUCUUUCUACUUCUCAAAGCUUUGCUGGUGUAGCCGAAGUCCGUAUGAGUCUUUGGUUUGCAUCUUCUAACAAGGAAACACUACUUAGGCUUUUACGAUUCAGUUACGGUUCUAGUUCUUAUACUCAAUCAUACACAUGACAUUUAGUCAUAUUUGACUCCAAAACACAAACCAAGCUUCUUUUUGCUUCUAAAAGCUUUGAUAGUGUAGUCGAAGUCCAUACGAGUCAUUGGCUUUCUAUCUUCUAAAAAGAAAACAUUA